rnacentral:rRNA from 1 species
ACUGCUCAGUAACACGUAAGUGACCUACCCUCGAGUGGGGAAUAACUGCUCGAAAGAGUGGCUAAUACCGCAUAGGCUCGGUGCUUCGGUGGACCGAGUAAAGUCGUAAGACGCUUGAGGAUGGGCUUGCGGCCGAUUAGCUAGUUGGUGGGGUAAAGGCCUACCAAGGCGAUGAUCGGUAGCUGGUCUGAGAGGAUGAUCAGCCAGACUGGGACUGCGACACGGCCCAGACUCCUACGGGAGGCAGCAGUUAGGAAUUUUGCGCAAUGGCCGAAAGGCUGACGCAGCAACGCCGCGUGAGGGACGAAGGCUUUCGGGUCGUAAACCUCUUUUGCACGGGAAGAUGGUGACGGUACCGUGCGAAUAAGCCCCGGCUAACUACGUGCCAGCAGCCGCGGUAAUACGUAGGGGGCGAGCGUUGUCCGGAUUUAUUGGGCGUAAAGAGCGCGUAGGUGGCUUAUCAAGUCGUGCGUGAAAUACCUCGGCUCAACUGGGGUGGGUCGUGCGAUACUGGUAGGCUUGAGGCCGGAAGGGGGAAGUGGAAUUCCCGGUGUAGUGGUGGAAUGCGUAGAUAUCGGGAGGAACACCAGUGGCGAAGGCGGCUUCCUGGUCCGGUCCUGACACUGAGGCGCGAAAGCGUGGGGAGCGAACUGAAUUAGAUACUCAGGUAGUCCACGCUGUAAACAAUGGGUGCUAGGUGUCGGGGGUAUCGACCCCCCCGGUGCCGCAGCUAACGCAUUAAGCACCCCGCCUGGGGAGUACGGCCGCAAGGCUAAAACUCAAAGGAAUUGGCGGGGGAGCAC